UGGUGGCGAAAGCAAAGUAGUGCGGAUGGCUUUUCCGUCUUCGCUCAGCUCUAGUCCUUAGAGAAGCCGCAGGGUUCCGUCCUGGGCCCGGUUCUGUUCAAUAUCUUUAUUAACGACUUAGACGAAGGGUUAGAAGGCACAAUCAUCAAGUUUGCAGAUGACACCAAACUGGAAGGGAUAGCCAACACUCCAGAAGAAAGGAGCAGAAUUCAAAACGAUCUUGACAGACUAGAGAGAUGGGCCGAAACUAACAAAAUGAAGCUCAACAGGGACAAAUGCAAGAUACUUCACUUCGGCAGAAAAAAUGGAAUGCAAAGAUACAGAAUGGGGGACGCCUGGUUCGACAGCAGUACAGUAGAGUCUCACUUAUCCAACAUAAACGAGCUGGCAGAACGUUGGAUAAGUGAAUAUGUUGGAUAAUAAGGAGAGAUAAGGAAAAGCCUAUUAAACAUCAAAUUAGGUUAUACUUUUACAAAUUAAGCACCAAAACAUCAUGUUAUACAACAAAUUUGACAGAAAAAGUAGUUCAAUAAACAGUAAUGCUAUGUAGUAAUUACUGUAUUUAUGAAUUUAGCACCAAAAUAUCACGAUGCAUUUAAAACAUUGACUACAAAAUGCGUUGGGUAAUCCAGAACGUUGGAUAAGCGAGUGUUGGAUAAGUGCGACUCUACUGUACUUGUGAAAAAGAUCUUGGAGUCCUCAUGGACAACAAGUUAAAUAUGAGCCUACAAUGUGAUGCGGCUGCUAAAAAAGCCAAUGGGAUUCUGGCCUGCAUCAAUAGGGGUAUAGCGUCUAGAUCCAGGGAAGUUAUGCUCCCCCUCUAUUCUGCCUUGGUCAGACCACACCUGGAAUACUGUGUCCAAUUUUGGGCACCACAGUUGAAGGGAGAUGUUGACAAGCUGGAAAGCGUCCAGAGGAGGGCGACUAAAAUGAUUAAGGGUCUGGAGAACAAGCCCUAUGAGGAGCGGCUUAAAGAGCUGGGCAUGUUUAGCCUGCAGAAGAGAAGGCUGAGAGGAGACAUGAUAGCCAUGUACAAAUACGUGAAGGGAAGUCAUAGGGAAGAGGGAGCAAGCUUGUUUUCUGCUGCCCUGCAGACUAGGACACGGAACAAUGGCUUCAAACUACAGGAAAGGAGAUUCCACCUGAACAUCAGGAAGAACUUCCUCACUGUGAGAGCUGUUCGACAGUGGAACUCUCUCCCCGGGGCCGUGGUGGAGGCUCCUUCCUUGGAGGCUUUUAAGCAGAGGCUGGAUGGCCAUCUGUCGGGGGUGCUUUGAAUGCGAUUUCCUGCUUCUUAGCAGGGGGUUGGACUAGAUGGCCCAUGUGGUCUCUUCCAACUCUACUAUUCUAUGAUUCUAUGAAGCCAAGACUAUGAAUCCCAGCAUGCUUCGGGUCGUGCAGUGUGUGAGGCACAAAAGGGAAUCGAAGUUGGAAAGGAAGGGGGAGGAGCCCGAGGGGCUCGGCCAUCGGUGUUUGAUUGGCCCCCUGGUCGGCCUGUGGAUGUGGCUAAGGCAGAUCGCUGAGCCCCUCAGAGGGUAGUGCUUGGGGGAGGGGGUCCUCUCAGGAGGAGCUCCCCUUCAGUCCUGUGGGACUUGAAUUCUAGCCGGAAACUGCAAGUCGCAUCUGGUAUGAGAAAAUUGGCUGUGUGCAAGGACGUUACCCAAGGGACGCCCAGAUGUUUGGUGUUUUACUAUCCUGUGGGAGGCUUCUCUCGUGUCCCUGCAUGGGAAGCUGGAGCUGACAGAUGGGAGCUCAUCCCGCUUCCCAGAUUCGAACUUUCGGUCAGCAGUCCUGCCGACCCAAGGGUUUAACCCAGUGGUUCUCCACCUGUGGGUCCCCAGAUGUUUUGGCCUUCAACUCCCAGAAAUCCUAACGGCUAGCAAACUGGCUGGGAUUUCUGGGAGUUGUAGGCCAAAACAUCUGGGGGCCCACAGGUUGAGAACCACUGGUUUAACUCGUUGUGCCACUAGGGGCUCCAUUCUAUCCGGUAAGCUCGCCUAAUAAUUGCCAGAGUGAAAAAGCAGGCUUAUUUAUUUAUUUGGGAAAUGUCUAUAUUGCCUUUCUCCGAAGACUCAAGAUGGUUGUUUACAACAGCAGUUAAACAUAAAUAUAUAUGAGUCCCGGUGGCUUAGGUACUCAUAUGCAAAUGUGAGUAGACCAGUAGGUACCGCUUUGGUGGAAAGGGAAUGGUGCUCCAUGCAGUCAUGCUGGCCACAUGACCUUGGAGGUGUCUACGGACAACGCUGGCUCUUCAGCUUAGAAAUGGAGAUGAGCACCAACCCCCGGAGUCAGACACGACUGUACUUAAUGUCAGGGGAAAGCCUUUACGUUUUCCUAAACCAUUAAAAAGGGCAGAAAAAUCCCUCUCAGUCCCAGUCAGAUGUAAAAUUAUCAUUGAAUAAAUAAAACCAUUUAAAAUUCCCAAGGAGAUAACAUAGGAUUAAAAUGCAUCUGUUACUCCUCUGAUUACAGGUGGACAAUUAAAUAAACAAAUUACCCAUAGACAAUCUGCAUACAUUUAAAUAAUAAUAUGUACUUUCCUUUUCUAGCAGGGCUGGCGCCCAAAUUAUAUGAGAAAGACAUUGUAAUAGAUCAAGAUUUCCUUAUUAAUUAUUACCAUUCAUCAGAGUGCAGACUGAAGCCAAAAAUCAGAUGAAGAUUAGGAUGUGAAAGGACAGCUGUGAUGAGAUCUGGAAGUGUCAAGAUAUAAAUGAAUACUAAAAUUAGGAUUGUCCCCACCAUCAUAUCCCCCAUUUCCACACAUGGUUGUGAAAGCUGGACAGCAAAGGAAAAUGAUCAGAAGGAAAUAAUCUCACCUGAAAUGUGCUGGAGGAGAGUUCUGUGAGAACAGCUGGAUUGCUUCCAAGACAAAUGAGUCCUAGAGGAAAUCAGGAUCAGACUUUCCCUAGAAGCAAGGGAUUCGGUUAAUACGCAAGAUAGACAACGAAAAUGUAUAAGAUGGGGCAGAGAGAGGUGAAGCUAAAUUUGUGAAUGUGUUCGUUAAGAAGAAAUUGAAAAUUCUGAUUCUGACUUUCUCUUGGAGAUUACAAGGUGGCAGAAAACCUAUUUGCAAUGGAACACAACACUGAUGAAUCAGCUUCUUCUGUCCAUGUUUAACAAUAACAUUAUGAUAAAAGUGUGCCAAGUUUUGUAGUUCUGAACACCAAAGGAUACCCUUAAUCUCUGCUUGAAGAAGCUUGGUGGAUUCACAUUGGCUGCAUAUUGGCUUUUCUGCGACAACAAACAGAAGAUUGGUGCUGGCCAGUCUUUGUGCAUAGAAUAGCCUGGAGGAGGAGGGAAAAACAAAAGAAUCGACUGCAUUUUAAAACAAUUUCUACCCAACCCAGUGGCUUUCUAAAAAUGAGUGUCCUUUCCCCUUAAAAGCUGGCACAGUGAGUAUUUAUGCUAUCAACAUUUUUAUGCAUUUGUGAAAACUCCAAAUAUGAACAGAAAUAAUUUUAAUAUCAUACUGGUGUUACAAAUUGUUUAUUUAAAGAAUCAGGGAUCAGAAAUAGCAGUGGGGAAUAAAUCCACCCAGCCAAUUACACAGAAUAAUAGGGUAUUUGCUGCAAAUAACUCUGGAGUUGGAAAAUAUAACCUAAAGUUAUUUCAAAGGAAAUCUAUAUAGCCCUGGGAAUAAUUUUCCUGCCUUCUAAAGUUUUGUUUUUAGUGGUGUUUAUUAAGUCAAAUUUUGUAUUUAAGAUUAUUUUUCAGAAUUGACUAACAUGACGGCAUGAGCUCAACAUGCUCCGAAUAUAGUUGUCUUGUAUUUUUGUUUUGCACAAGGAUUUUCAGAAACUAUACCUAUAUAUGUAUGUGUAUGUAUAGAUAUCAUACGCAGGCAUACAUAUAUAUUUAAAUAUAUACACACUCUUCUUAUGUAGGUGAGUGAACAGAAGGCGGGACCACUGUGCUGCCAACCACAGUGGUGUCUCAACAAGGUGCAGGUGGCAGCUGUAGUCUCAAGAGUGGCACACAGGCAGAUGACAAGACACAAAGAAGAAGAAGAAGAAGAAAUGACCAAGACUUUGGCACAAUGAGGAGGUGUCAGCUCUCGAGAGGUGGGAGUGAUGGAGUAGAAUAUUUAAAGGUGUGGCAGAGAGGAGAGUGGGAAAGGGAGCUGAACCAGUCCUGGGGUGGGGAGGGAGUGGUUGGAUGGACACCUCAGCAAGCUCACACGCAAAGCUACCUUGGAGCAAUGAACACAUGUCCCUCGGACUCAAAGCUGUUUGGCAGCAGGUAUUCAAAAUCUGCAACAGAAAGGUAACGUUAUCCGGCGGGGGUUUGAAAUGGGGAAAGGAGAAGACGGACUCAGUCUCAGAAUGGGACAGAAGAAGAGAAAGUGAGAACAGCGUACGGGUGGGGAAACAGAGAGAGAGAGAGAGACAAAGAGACAGAAAGAGAGAGCAUAGACUGGAAUCCAACAAAAGAGGCAAAAGAACUGACUAAUUUGAACAAGAGAGAAAGGAGAAUAUUCUUUGCACUGUACAAGAAAAGUUGUAGCCAAUAUGUUGCCAGUGUUUGGAGAAUUUGGAUAAUUUAUUGUAUUUUGUAAAGGUAUUACACUGUUUGAAAUUAUAUAUAAUUGAUCAAUUGUCUCUGUAUCACUUUGGAACUCAGUAGUUGCAUAUACACACAUAUAUAUCCUCAUACUUAUAUUUAUAUAUUUAUAUAUAUGUAUGUUCAGAAGUUGUAUGGGCAUCUCUCUCUUAUUACAUCAUUAACAAAGAAAAGAAAUCACAUGCUCUGCUCAUACGGAAAGAGAAUUACUAAAACAACAUUUUCUAAUAAAAAUUAUUUUUCAGGCAUCAACAUGGCCAAACCAGGGUCCUUUAUGAAGACAGUCCAACCAAAGACUUACCCACUGGAUAGAGGUAACAUGCAAUGCAUUGUAGAGGGUGCAGCAGCUGCCUUCCGGCUGACAGUGGUCUCGAAGCACUGCAACAGCCAUCCCUCCUUUGCCUGAAUAUGAAACAGACCCUUCCAGAUUUCACAGGAGCAACCAGAUGAUAAUCAAAGCAUGUAUGGAGUAGGUCCUGUGCUCUUCUACAGGCUGAAAUAAUUUUAGUUCUCUGCCCAUGCCUCAGUUUCUGAGAUGUACAUAUUUGGCUGAAUGACUCAGGCAUGAUUCAAAUAAUUGUCCAAAGGACGUCUGUUGAGGUCAUGAGAGAAAGCCUUUUCAGUGGCUGCUCCCAAAUUGAGGAUCUCCCUUUCUUGGGAGACCCAGUUGAUCCUCUCCCUGUUGGGUUUCCACCAGCCUUUUUAUUUUAGAAAGCAUUUGGUUUUCAGCAUGCGGGGGCAGAUGGAGCCAUGGUCUAGUGUUUCUCUUUUAUGUUUUAAAUGUCUUUUUAAUGCUGUUUUUAACUUGCGUUUUUAAAAUCCAAGUUAAUUUAAUUGAAUUUUAACACUUGUGUUAAGAGAUGUUUUAAUUGUACUGUGUGUUUUCAAAUAUUGCAUGGUGUCUUGAAUCCUGUGCUGGAAGAAAGGUGGGGCGUUAAAUAAACAAAUAGUUGGAAGAGCAAACAUUGCACAUAUCACACUAUGUACACUCAACAUCAUCAUGUUCAAAAAGUCCUCACGUGUAUUGGUGCAGUUGAAGAAACCAUCAUUCCAGAAGCAUUCUAAGGCUUAUUCUAAUGUUUUAGAAAUCUAUAUCUAUCUCCUUUCAUUGUUUUUUGUUUUAAAAAACUGAGCUGGAUAAUUUUCAGUGAACUAUCAGUAUGGUUCACCUUGAAAAGAAAUGAAUGGGUGAUUUUGACUAGGGAUAUUUUGCUAGGUGUUACCAUAUUUUAAGCGAGUCAGUCGAUUUAAAUAUAAUUAGUCAAAACAGUUGGGAAUUCUUGUGGCUCUUUACUUUUUAGAGUUCAUUUAAGUAUGGACAACAGUAAAUGGAAACAUCAAUCUAUGGUUGUUCACAAGGCUUGCUAAGUAGAGAGGAUGGUUAUAUUGGUUUUAAGUUUUUUUUUUUAAAAAAAUGCAUAGCUGUGCUUUACUGUGCAAUUCUAUGAUUGGCUAUUUAGGAGCAGAUAAGCUUGCAGCAUUCAUUUGGAAGCCACUCUCUGGCUCCUUUUAGAGCUAAUAUAGGAAUUAAUAUAAUGCCUUGCUGUUCUCCUGCCAAAAGAACCAUGCUGAAAGAAGCAAGAAACCUGGAGUCGGAUCCUUGAGAGAAGGCACAUCCUGUAAUCUAGAAUGGGCAUAUCCCACAUGGAUCAAUGGACCUGUCUCUAUAGCAACAUUUGUAUCUUUGUUUUGAUUGAGCUUCAUCUUCAUCAUUCAUUCAUUGAAGAACCUGCUGCAAGUGAUGCUGAGGAAAAGAAGACUUUGGUAUCCCUGACAUACUGAUGACACUAUAAAAUGACUCCCACCCUGCAAUUUUAUGUAGAUCUUAAAAAUGGUGGGAGACAACACUAGCAUCCCACAGAAUUUAUGAAGACAGUUUUCACAAGGAACAGACAACCUCCAGGCACCAUUCCCUGAAGCUAUCCUAUGAGAAACUGCAAAGCCUUUUUUUUUCAUCUUUUAACUCAUGCAGUACUCUUAUGUUGGCAGUAUGACAGCAAACAUAUGACAGCAUAUUCAUUGUUAUCAACAGCUGCUGAGAUUUUUUUAUUAAAAUCAAUCAAGUCAG